rnacentral:rRNA from 1 species
AGUGAACGCUGGCGGUAGGCCUAACACAUGCAAGUCGAACGGCAGCACAGGAGAGCUUGCUCUCUGGGUGGCGAGUGGCGGACGGGUGAGGAAUACAUCGGAAUCUACUUUUUCGUGGGGGAUAACGUAGGGAAACUUACGCUAAUACCGCAUACGACCUACGGGUGAAAGCAGGGGACCUUCGGGCCUUGCGCGAUUGAAUGAGCCGAUGUCGGAUUAGCUAGUUGGCGGGGUAAAGGCCCACCAAGGCGACGAUCCGUAGCUGGUGUGAGAGGAUGAUCAGCCACACUGGAAAUGAGACACGGUACAGACUCCUACGGGGGGCAGCAGUGGGGAAUAUUGGACAAUGGGCGCAAGCCUGAUCCAGCCAUACCGCGUGGGUGAAGAAGGCCUUCGGGUUGUAAAGCCCUUUUGUUGGGAAAGAAAUCCAGCUGGCUAAUACCCGGUUGGGAUGACGGUACCCAAAGAAUAAGCACCUGCUAACUUCGUGCCAGCAGCCGCCGCCG